GCAUCAGUACCACCUUAUGUGCCUGGGAAACAAAGUCGCACCAUGAACCACAGUCAACUAAGUCUUCAUGGCUCUCCAAGGACUGUGCAAUCUGAAGAACAGAUGGCAGUCUUCUGUCAGUGCUUGAAGACUUUUUCCAAGAAACAUUAAGCCUCUAUUGGGCCUCGCUUGUUAAUGCAAAAGUCCUUCUCAGGACAGAAGGUAGGAAAGUCUUUGAAGUCAUCAGAGGUUGCCAAACCAAGUGGUCACACAGACAAAACGCACUGCACAGGUGCCAGACUUCUUCCUCAGAGAUCCAUCAGAUGAACUUCCCUGCUAAAAACUUCCAUCCACUGCUCCCCAAUUUAUGUCCCCAUUCAGCUCAAAGAAGUCAG